AUUGAACGCUGGCGGCAGGCCUAACACAUGCAAGUCGAGCGGAUGAAGGGAGCUUGCUCCUGGAUUCAGCGGCGGACGGGUGAGUAAUGCCUAGGAAUCUGCCUGGUAGUGGGGGAUAACGUCCGGAAACGGGCGCUAAUACCGCAUACGUCCUGAUGGAGAAAGUGGGGGAUCUUCGGACCUCACGCUAUCAGAUGAGCCUAGGUCGGAUUAGCUAGUUGGUGGGGUAAAGGCCUACCAAGGCGACGAUCCGUAACUGGUCUGAGAGGAUGAUCAGUCACACUGGAACUGAGACACGGUCCAGACUCCUACGGGAGGCAGCAGUGGGGAAUAUUGGACAAUGGGCGAAAGCCUGAUCCAGCCAUGCCGCGUGUGUGAAGAAGGUCUUCGGAUUGUAAAGCACUUUAAGUUGGGAGGAAGGGCAGUAAGUUAAUACCUUGCUGUUUUGACGGUACCAACAGAAUAAGCACCGGCUAACUUCGUG
rnacentral:rRNA from 1 species